rnacentral:rRNA from 1 species
GUCUACAGCCAUGCCACCCUGAACAAGCCCGAUGUCUGAUCUCAGAAGCUAAGCAGGGUCAGGCCUUGUUAGUAAUUGGAUGGGAGACCACCUAGGAAGACCAGGUGCUGUAGGCA